rnacentral:rRNA from 1 species
AACGAACGCUGGCGGCAUGCCUAACACAUGCAAGUCGAACGAGACCUUCGGGUCUAGUGGCGCACGGGUGCGUAACGCGUGGGAACCUGCCCUUAGGUUCGGAAUAACUCCCCGAAAGGGGUGCUAAUACCGGAUAAUGUCUUCGGACCAAAGAUUUAUCGCCUUGGGAUGGGCCCGCGUUGGAUUAGCUAGUUGGUAGGGUAAAAGCCUACCAAGGCGACGAUCCAUAGCUGGUCUGAGAGGAUGAUCAGCCACACUGGGACUGAGACACGGCCCAGACUCCGACGGGAGGCAGCAGUGGGGAAUAUUGGACAAGGGGCGAAAGCCUGAUCCAGCAAUGCCGCGUGAGUGAUGAAGGCCUUAGGGUUGUAAAGCUCUUUUACCCGGGAUGAUAAUGACAGUACCGGGAGAAUAAGCACCGGCUAACUCCGUG